rnacentral:rRNA from 1 species
GACGAACGCUGGCGGCGUGCUUAACACAUGCAAGUCGAACGGAAAGGCCCUGCUUUUGUGGGGUGCUCGAGUGGCGAACGGGUGAGUAACACGUGAGUAACCUGCCCUUGACUUUGGGAUAACGUCAGGAAACUGGGGCUAAUACCGGAUAGGAGCUCCUGCUGCAUGGUGGGGGUUGGAAAGUUUCGGCGGUUGGGGAUGGACUCGCGGCUUAUCAGCUUGUUGGUGGGGUAGUGGCUUACCAAGGCUUUGACGGGUAGCCGGCCUGAGAGGGUGACCGGCCACAUUGGGACUGAGAGACGGCGCAGACUCGUACGGGAGGCAGCAGUGGGGAAUAUUGCACAAUGGGCGGAAGCCUGAUGCAGCAACGCCGCGUGCGGGAUGACGGCCUUCGGGUUGUAAACCGCUUUCGCCUGUGACGAAGCGUGAGUGACGGUAAUGGGUAAAGAAGCACCGGCUAACUACGUG